GAAAUGCGAUAAGUAGUGUGAAUUGCAGAAUUCAGUGAAUCAUCGAAUCUUUGAACGCACAUUGCGCCCCUUGGUAUUCCUUGGGGCAUGCCUGUUCGAGCGUCAUUUGUACCCUCAAGCUCUGCUUGGUGUUGGGUGUUUGUCCCGUCUCCGCGCGUGGACUCGCCCCAAAGUGAUUGGCAGCCGGCGUACUGGUCCCGGAGCGCAGCACAUGUCGCGCAAACGAGUGCCUUGGUACGGCGGCGUCCAUAAGCCCCUCUCUCACGCUCUUGACCUCGGAUCAGGUAGGGAUACCCGCUGAACUUAAGC
rnacentral:misc_RNA from 1 species